rnacentral:rRNA from 1 species
UACGUAGGGCGCAAGCGUUGUCCGGAAUUAUUGGGCGUAAAGAGCUCGUAGGCGGCCAGUUGCGUCCGCUGUGAAAUCCCGGGGCUUAACCCCGGGCGUGCAGUGGAUACGGGCUGGCUAGAGGCAGGCAGGGGAGAACGGAAUUCCCGGUGUAGCGGUGAAAUGCGCAGAGAUCGGGAGGAACACCAGAGGCGAAGGCGGCGACCUGGACAAUUACUGACACUCAACUGCGAAAGCGUGGGGAGCAAACAGGG